rnacentral:misc_RNA from 1 species
AGCUUCUCCUAAAAUAAAAUAUAAAUGUGUACACUGCUCAUGUUUGACUUAUGUAAUAGUAGCUUCAACAGCAGUUCUUUUACUGGUUACUUCAUUUUGUUCUUCUCCUUCUUCGAGGUCGAUGCCCACAAAAUUCUCAUCGGAAAUCACUUUACUGCUUGCAUCACAACCCUUCCAAUGUAGUCCCUUGCCAUUGUUAAUGUUAGCCCAACCUCUCUGUCUUUUGAAACUGAAAUUCCCCCAUCGGACCUGAUAAGAUAACGGAUUGGCAUUUGGUCCCUGUGAUGUUUGGCACUUUUCAGUUUUCAGCGGUCUGCCAAGUAAAUCUGUCGAGCCAUAUUCACUUCUGUACAACUGAUGGAUAAAUGAUGUUUCUAAGGAGUUGAGGUAAAAUUGAUGCUUCCUAUCUGUCCACUCUGAGCACACAGUUUCGACCUCCUGAGGUCUCUUGAAAGGAGGACUAUCGGCACUGCUGGAGAGGCUGCUGGAGGCCUCGACGGAGAACCCGCUAGCCGAGAUAGACGUCGAACUGCUAACCAUUUCUGCUCGAAGAAGCCAAAUGGCGAGGACGGUAGAAAUAAAGGAAAACAGAUCAGUAAUCG